UACGUAGGUGGCAAGCGUUAUCCGGAUUUACUGGGUGUAAAGGGCGUGUAGGCGGGAGAGCAAGUCAGACGUGAAAUUCCAGGGCUCAACCCUGGAACUGCGUUUGAAACUGUUCUUCUUGAGUGAUGGAGAGGCAGGCGGAAUUCCGUGUGUAGCGGUGAAAUGCGUAGAUAUACGGAGGAACACCAGUGGCGAAGGCGGCCUGCUGGACAUUAACUGACGCUGAGGCGCGAAAGCGUGGGGAGCAAACAGG
rnacentral:rRNA from 1 species